AUUGAACGCUGGCGGCAUGCCUUACACAUGCAAGUCGAACGGUAACAGGUCUUCGGAUGCUGACGAGUGGCGAACGGGUGAGUAAUACAUCGGAACGUGCCUAGUAGUGGGGGAUAACUACUCGAAAGAGUGGCUAAUACCGCAUGAGAUCUACGGAUGAAAGCAGGGGAUCGCAAGACCUUGUGCUACUAGAGCGGCCGAUGGCAGAUUAGGUAGUUGGUGGGAUAAAAGCUUACCAAGCCGACGAUCUGUAGCUGGUCUGAGAGGACGAUCAGCCAAACUGGGACUGAGAAACGGCCCAGACUCCGACGGGAGGCAGCAGUGGGGAAUGUUGGACAAUGGGCGCAAGGCUGAUCCAGCAAUGCCGCGUGCAGGAUGAAGGCCUUCGGGUUGUAAACUGCUUUUGUACGGAACGAAAAGCCCCGGGUUAAUACCCUGGGGUCAUGACGGUACCGUAAGAAUAAGCACCGGCUAACUACGUGCCAGCCGCCGCAGUAA
rnacentral:rRNA from 1 species